rnacentral:rRNA from 1 species
AAGAACGCUGGCGGCAGGCCUAAGACAUGCAAGUCGUACGCGAACGACCUUUCGGGGUUAAGUAGAGUGGCGAACGGGUUAGUAACGCGUGGGAACAUACACAGCACAGGGGGAUAACCAUUGGAAACGAUGGCUAAUACCGCAUACGCCCUAUUGGGGAAAGAUUUAUCGGUGUUGGAUUGGCCCGCGUUAGAUUAGCUAGUUGGUGGGGUAAUGGCUCACCAAGGCGACGAUUUAUAGCUGGUUUGAGAGGAUGAUCAGCAACACUGGAACUGAGACACGGUCCAGACUCCUACGGGAGGCAGCAGUCGGGAAUAUUGUGCAAUGGGGGCAACCCUGACACAGCCAUGCCGCGUGAGUGGAGAAGGCCUUAGGGUUGUAAAGCUCUUUCAGAUGUGAGGAUGAUGACGAUAGCAUCAGAAGAAGCUCCGGCUAACUUCGUGCCAGCAGCCGCGGUAAUACGAAGGGAGCUAGCGUNGUUCGGAAUUACUGGGCGUAAAGGGCGUGU